rnacentral:rRNA from 1 species
UACGAAGGGUGCAAACGUUGCUCGGAAUCAUUGGGCGUAAAGCGCACGUAGGCGGCUUCGCAAGUCGGAUGUGAAAUCCCUCGGCUCAACCAAGGACGUGCAUCCGAAACUGCAAAGCUUGAGUACAGAAGAGGAUCGCGGAAUUCCCGGUGUAGAGGUGAAAUUCGUAGAUAUCAGGAGGAACACCAGUGGCGAAGGCGGCGAUCUGGGCUGAUACUGACGCUGAGGUGCGAAAGCGUGGGGAGCAAACAGG